rnacentral:rRNA from 1 species
GACGGCCUUCGGGUUGUAAACCUCUUUUAGUAGGGAAGAAGCGUAACAGUGACGGUACCUGCAGAAAAAGCACCGGCUAACUACGUGCCAGCAGCCGCGGUAAUACGUAGGGUGCAAGCGUUGUCCGGAAUUAUUGGGCGUAAAGAGCUCGUAGGCGGUUUGUCGCGUCUGCUGUGAAAACCCGAGGCUCAACCUCGGGCCUGCAGUGGGUACGGGCAGACUAGAGUGCGGUAGGGGAGAUUGGAAUUCCUGGUGUAGCGGUGGAAUGCGCAGAUAUCAGGAGGAACACCAAUGGCGAAGGCAGAUCUCUGGGCCGUAACUGACGCUGAGGAGCGAAAGCAUGGGGAGCGAACAGGAUUAGAUACCCUGGUAGUCCAUGCCGUAAACGUUGGGAACUAGAUGUGGGGACCAUUCCACGGUCUCCGUGUCGCAGCUAACGCAUUAAGUUCCCCGCCUGGGGAGUACGGCCGCAAGGCUAAAACUCAAAGGAAUUGACGGAAUCACUA